GAGGCUAUAGUCUGACACUGACAAGAGAAGAUAUCCUACAACAGAUACUAAAGAUCACCAUGAUGAAGCUGAUGACUGUUUCUGCACUUCUGUGUGCAAUGGCGACGGUGACCACUGCUGCUGGAGAAUGGUAUCUUGUCAAGAAGUCCCCAUCUUGUCCCUGUGGUUGGACUGAGU